GGCACAAGCCCUGUAGACAACUUCUCCCAAUAGUGUUGCACUUCCAACAAUAGACACAAAUAACAUUGAAUCAAGUUUAUCAGGUAAUACAUUAAAUUUGAAUGCAAAAACAAGUGAAACAAAUGAAUGCGAUGCACCAGUGUCAAAUAAAAUAUGAGCAAGAUGGUUACAGAUAGACAUACCCUGUACCACGUCCGGGUCGGCAUCGGCAUCCUGCUGGGUGAGGU
rnacentral:lncRNA from 1 species